rnacentral:rRNA from 1 species
AUACGUAGGUGGCAAGCGUUGUCCGGAAUUACUGGGUGUAAAGGGCGUGUAGGCGGGGAUGCAAGUCAGAUGUGAAAUUCCGGGGCUCAACCCCGGCACUGCAUCUGAAACUGUGUCUCUUGAGUGCUGGAGAGGAAAGCGGAAUUCCUAGUGUAGCGGUGAAAUGCGUAGAGAUUGGGAGGAACACCAGUGGCGAAGGCGACUUACUGGACUGUAACUGACGCUGAGGCGCGAAAGUGUGGGGAGCAAACAGGAUUAGAUACCCUGGUAGUCCACACUGUAAACGAUGAAUGCUAGGUGUAGGGGGUAUCGACCCCUUCUGUGCCGCAGUCAACACAAUAAGCAUUCCGCCUGGGGAGUACGGCCGCAAGGUUGAAACUCAAAUGAAUUGGCGGGG